AUUGAACGCUGGCGGCAGGCUUAACACAUGCACGUCGAGCGAGCGGCGGACGGGUGUGUACUUUCUGGGAAACUGCCUGAUGGAGGGGGAUAACUACUGGAAACGGUAGCUAAUACCGCAUACCAUCAGAUGUGCCCAGAUGGGAUUAGCUAGUAGGUGGGGUAAUGGCUCACCUAGGCGACGAUCCCUCGCUGGUCUGAGAGGAUGACCGGCGACACGGGAACUGAGACACGGUGCAGACUCCUACGGGAGGCAGCAGUGGGGAAUAUUGCACAAUGGGAGCGAGCCUUAGGCAGCCAUGCCGCGUGUGUGAAGAAGGCCCUCGGGUUGUAAAGCACUUUCAGCGAGGAGGCGUUACUCGCAGAAGAAGCACCGGCUAACUCCGUGCCAGCAGCCGCGGUAAUAC
rnacentral:rRNA from 1 species